rnacentral:tRNA from 1 species
UCCCUGGUGGCUCAGACAGUAAAGAAUCUGCCUGCAAUGCAGGAGACUCAGGUUCGAUCCCUGGGUCAGGAAG